rnacentral:rRNA from 1 species
CAGAGAGUGUGUGCCAGCCGCCGCGGUAAUACGUAUGGAGCAAGCGUUAUCCGGAUUUACUGGGUGUAAAGGGAGUGUAGGUGGCCAGGCAAGUCAGAAGUGAAAGCCCGGGGCUCAACCCCGGGACUGCUUUUGAAACUGCAGGGCUAGAGUGCAGGAGGGGCAAGUGGAAUUCCUAGUGUAGCGGUGAAAUGCGUAGAUAUUAGGAGGAACACCAGUGGCGAAGGCGGCUUGCUGGACUGUAACUGACACUGAGGCUCGAAAGCGUGGGGAGCAAACAGG